rnacentral:tRNA from 1 species
GGGUAUAACUCGGUGGUAGAGUGCAUGCUUAACACGCAUGAGGUCCUGGGUUCAAGUCCCUCCAUCCA